rnacentral:lncRNA from 1 species
CUCGGCAAAUACAGCGAAUAACAAAUAUAUUUAUACAAAGUUCAACUUUUAUAUUGUUCCUAUAAAAAUUCUGAUAUUUUUAAAAAUUUGUCCAUCUGAUUUGUUACCAUUAGAGAACAAUUUAUAUUUUUAAUUUUGUCAUCACAAAUAUAUCCCUUCAAAAGCCAUAACAAUAUAAUAUAAAGGGAUGAAAUUAAAUGUUAAAAACUAAUCAAAAUUAAAUAUCUAAUCUAUGGUUAACCUACAAAAAA